AAGUUUCUUCCUCAGCUUGGGGCCAGCCCAGACUGCAUGUGGUUUCCUCUCACUGUGUGUGCCUGCAUGUGUGUGUGUGUGUGUGUGUGUGUGUGUGUGUGUGUGUGUACAAAUGUGCAUGUGUGUUAGUUAUUUGCCUUUUACUGGCUCCGGGGUUUCUGUCCACCAGAGGAGCCCAGGGCUCUCUCUCAGACCUGCCCAACCUGCCGAGAAGUUCUGGGACCCAGCUGGAUGCCAGUGGACACCCCACCGGCUGCCCCAGAAUGCGCUGAAAGUCAUUGAGAGGCACUGCUCCAACAGGACAAUUAUUUCUCGAGAAAGGGGAGAUUUGGCAUCCAGAUGCAGUUCUCCAAACCCAUCGCUGGCAACCCUCCACACCUCGCUGGGCCUCAGUUUCCCACUUCUUUUUGGAGACCACCAGGGUCUACGUCAUCCUACCUCAUGGUGA
ensembl:lncRNA